rnacentral:rRNA from 1 species
UUGUUGGUAAGGUAAAGGCUUACCAAGGCUUCGAUCAGUAGCUGGUCUGAGAGGACGGCCAGCCACACUGGGACUGAGACACGGCCCAGACUCCUACGGGAGGCAGCAGUGGGGAAUUUUGGACAAUGGGGGAAACCCUGAUCCAGCCAUGCCGCGUGAGUGAAGAAGGCCUUCGGGUUGUAAAGCUCUUUCAGCCGGAACGAAACGGUUACGGAUAAUACCCGUGACUACUGACGGUACCGGAAGAAGAAGCACCGGGCUAACUACGUGCCAGCAGCCGCGGUAAUACGUAGGGUGCGAGCGUUAAUCGGAAUUACUGGGCGUAAAGCGUGCGCAGGUGGUUUUGUAAGUCAGAUGUGAAAGCCCCGGGCUCAACCUGGGAACUGCGUUUGAAACUACAAGACUAGAGUGUGGCAGAGGGGGGUGGAAUUCCGCGUGUAGCAGUGAAAUGCGUAGAGAUGUGGAGGAACACCGAUGGCGAAGGCAGCCCCCUGGGUUAACACUGACACUCAGGCACGAAAGCAUGGGGAGCAAACAGGAUUAGAUACCCUGGUAGUCCAUGCCCUAAACGAUGUCAACUAGUUGUCGGGCCUUUACGGGCUUGGUAACGUAGCUAACGCGUGAAGUUGACCGCCUGGGGAGUACGAUCGCAAGAUUAAAACUCAAAUGAAUUGACGGGGACCCGCACAAGCGGUGGAUUAUGUGGAUUAAUUCGAUGCAACGCGAAAAACCUUACCUACCCUUGACAUGUAUCGAAGCCCGCAGAAAAGCGGGGGUGCCCGAAAGGGAACGAUAACACAGGUGCUGCAUGGCUGUCGUCAGCUCGUGUCGUGAGAUGUUGGGUUAAGUCCCGCAACGAGCGCAACCCUUGUCAUUAAUUGCCAUCAUUUAGUUGGGCACUUUAAUGAGACUGCCGG